ensembl:snRNA U4 U4 spliceosomal RNA
AGCUUUGCACAGUGGCAAUAUUGCAGUCAAUAAGGUUUAUCUGAGGUGCGAUUAUUGCUAAUAAAAGGGCCCAAUUAGCUAAGAUUAUGGCUAAUCUUCACCAAACAAGUUAUUCCAAGUUCCCAAAGUAC